GAUGAACGCUGGCGGCGUGCCUAAUACAUGCAAGUCGAGCGAACAGACGAGGAGCUUGCUCCUCUGACGUUAGCGGCGGACGGGUGAGUAACACGUGGAUAACCUACCUAUAAGACUGGGAUAACUUCGGGAAACCGGAGCUAAUACCGGAUAAUAUAUUGAACCGCAUGGUUCAAUAGUGAAAGACGGUUUUGCUGUCACUUAUAGAUGGAUCCGCGCCGCAUUAGCUAGUUGGUAAGGUAACGGCUUACCAAGGCAACGAUGCGUAGCCGACCUGAGGGGGGGAUCGACCAAACUGGAAUGAGGACACGGUCCGAACUCCAACGGGGGGAAGCGGUAAGAAAACUUCCGCAAUGGGCGAAAGCCUAACGGGGCAACGCCGCGGGAGUGAUGAAGGUCUUCGGAUCGUAAAACUCUGUUAUUAGGGAAGAACAAAUGUGUAAGUAACUAUGCACGUCUGGACGGUACCUAAUCAGAAAGCCACGGCUAACUACGU
rnacentral:rRNA from 1 species